rnacentral:ncRNA from 1 species
UAGUAAGAGCUUGAUCCUGGCUCAGAAUGAACGCUGGUAAUAUGCUUAACACAUGCGAGUCAAAUUUUAUUUGGCGCUCGGGUGAGUAAUAAACAGGUAAUCUACCUUUUGUAAAAAAGAUGAGCUUGUUUAAGAUUAGAUAGUUGGUGGGGUAAAGGCUUACCAAGUCAAGGAUCUUUAGUCGGUCUGAGAGGAUGAUCGGCCACAUUGGGACUGAAAGACGGCCCAAACUCCAAUUGGAGGCAGCAGUGGGGAAUAUUGGACAAUGGGCGAAAGCCUGAUCCAGCAAUAUUACGUGAGUGAUGAAGGUUUAUUGGCUGUAAAACUCUUUUAAUUGUUGAAAUAAUGAUAUAUACAAUUGAAUAAGUCCCGGCUAAUUCCGUGCCAGCAGCCGCGGUAAUACGGGGGGGACAAGUGUUAUUCAGAAUAACUGGGCGUAAAGGGCAUGUAGGUGGCUAAGUAUAUAUCAAGGGAGUAAAAUUAAAGCUUAACUUUGAUUUCUUUUGGUUAUUUUAGCUUGAGUUUUUUAGAGGAUUGCGGAAUUUUGCAUGGAGCGAUAAAAUGCGUUGAUAUGCAAAAGAACACCAAUGGCGAAGGCAGCAAUCUGGGAAAUAACUGACGUUGAGAUGCGAAAGCAUGGGGAGCAAACAGGAUUAGAGACCCUGGUAGUCCAUGCUGUAAACGAUGAGUAUUCGUUUUUGGUAUUUUAUCAGAAACUUAGCUAACGCGUUAAAUACUCCGCCUGAGAAGUACGACCGCAAGGUUGAAAUUCAAAGGAAUUGACGGGGAUCCGCACAAGCGGUGGAGCAUGUGGUUUAAUUCGAUACAGCGCGAGAAACCUUACCAAUUUUUGCAUAUAAAAUAUAAAACUUGUGUUACGCGAGUUGUCAUUUAAAAAAAUGAAAAUUUUAUACAGGUGCUGCAUGGCUGUCGUCAGCUCGUGUUGUGAGAUGUUUGAUUAAGUUCUUGAAACGAGCGCAACCCUCGAUAAUUUGCUUAUAAAAGUAAUAUGAACUGCCAAUGAUAAGUUGGAGGAAGGAGAGGAUGACGUCAAGUCCGCAUGGCCCUUAUAAAUUGGGCUACACACGUGCUACAAUGGAUACUACAAAAGGUAGCAAUUAUGUUAAGUAGGAGCGAGUCCUAAAAAGUAUCCUUAGUUCGGAUUGUUCUUUGAAACUCAAGAACAUGAAGUUGGAAUCGCUAGUAAUCGUGAAUUAGCAUGUCACGGUGAAAUGUUUUCCGGAUCUUGUACACACCGCCCGUCACGCGCUGGAAAUUAUUAUUUCUUGAAGAUUAAUUCACUAAAAUGAAUUUGUCGAGGGAAAUAUUAGUAACUGGGGUGAAGUCGUAACAAGGUAGCCGUAGGGGAACCUGUGGCUGAAGUAAUAAACUUGG